AGAGUUUGAUCCUGGCUCAGAUUGAACGCUGGCGGCAUGCCUUACACAUGCAAGUCGAACGGCAGCACGGGGGCAACCCUGGUGGCGAGUGGCGAACGGGUGAGUAAUAUAUCGGAACGUACCCAGUAGUGGGGGAUAACUAUCCGAAAGGAUAGCUAAUACCGCAUACGAUCUGUGGAUGAAAGCAGGGGAUCUUCGGACCUUGUGCUAUUGGAAUGGCCGAUAUCUGAUUAGCUAGUUGGUAGGGUAAAAGCCUACCAAGGCGACGAUCAGUAGCUGGUCUGAGAGGACGACCAGCCACACUGGAACUGAGACACGGUCCAGACUCCUACGGGAGGCAGCAGUGGGGAAUUUUGGACAAUGGGGGCAACCCUGAUCCAGCAAUGCCGCGUGAGUGAAGAAGGCCCUCGGGUUGUAAAG
rnacentral:rRNA from 1 species